UACGUAGGGGGCAAGCGUUGUCCGGAAUCAUUGGGCGUAAAGAGCGUGUAGGCGGCUCGAUAAGUCUGCUGUGAAAGUCCAGGGCUCAACCCUGGAAGGCCGGUGGAAACUGUCGGGCUAGAGUUCGGAAGAGGCGAGUGGAAUUCCCGGUGUAGCGGUGAAAUGCGCAGAUAUCGGGAGGAACACCUAUGGCGAAGGCAGCUCGCUGGGACGUUACUGACGCUGAGACGCGAAAGCGUGGGGAGCAAACAGG
rnacentral:rRNA from 1 species